rfam:Ornithorhynchus anatinus chromosome 5, whole genome shotgun sequence.
AGCAGAGUGGCUCAGGAGAAAGAGCCUGGCCUUGGGAGUCAGUGGUCGUGGGUUCGAAUCCCUGCUCUGCCA